UACAGAGGGUGCAAGCGUUGUUCGGAAUUACUGGGCGUAAAGCGCGUGUAGGCGGUUUGACAAGUUGGGUGUGAAAUCCCUCGGCUUAACCGAGGAACUGCAUUCAAAACUAUCAGACUUGAGUAUCGGAGGGGGUGGCGGAAUUCCUGGUGUAGAGGUGAAAUUCGUAGAUAUCAGGAGGAACACCCGUGGCGAAGGCGGCCACCUGGAAGAUUACUGACGCUGAGACGCGAAAGCGUGGGGAGCAAACAGG
rnacentral:rRNA from 1 species